UGAACAGUGGUGAAAGGAUAACACACUCAUUCUUAAUGAGAGAUUGCUGGUUUGAGUCCAGCCUGUUCAA
rnacentral:tRNA from 1 species